CAACGAUGAAGAGUUUGAUCCUGGCUCAGGAUGAACGCUAGCGGCAGGCCUAACACAUGCAAGUCGAGGGGCAGCGGGGAAAAGCUUGCUUUUCCGCCGGCGACCGGCGCACGGGUGCGCAACGCGUAUACAAUCUGCCCCCUACUGCGGGAUAGCCCAGAGAAAUUUGGAUUAAGACCGCAUGGUACCGUAUUGCCGCAUGGUAUUUACGGUUAAAGGUUACGGUAGGGGAUGGGUAUGCGUCCCAUUAGCUGGAUGGCGGGGUAACGGCCCACCAUGGCGACGAUGGGUAGGGGCCCUGAGAGGGGGAUCCCCCACACUGGUACUGAGACACGGACCAGACUCCUACGGGAGGCAGCAGUGAGGAAUAUUGGA
rnacentral:rRNA from 1 species